CCUACGGGAGGCAGCAGUGAGGAAUAUUGGUCAAUGGGCGCGGGCCUGAACCAGCCAAGUAGCGUGAGGGAUGACGGUCCUAUGGGUUGUAAACUUCUUUUGUCGGGGAGCAAAGGGCGGCACGUGUGGCGUUUUGCACGUACCUGAAGAAUAAGGAUCGGCUAACUCCGUGCCAGCAGCCGCGGUAAUACGGAGGAUACGAGCGUUAUCCUGAUUUAUUGGGUUUAAAGGGUGCGUAGAUGGGGUGUUAAGUCAGGGGUGAAAGUUUGGGGCCCAACCCCCGUGGUGCCAUUGAAACUGGCGGGCUUGAGUGCACGUGAGGUAGGCGGAAUUCGUGGUGUAGCGGUGAAAUGCAUAGAUAUCACGAAGAACUCCGAUUGCGAAGGCAGCAUACUGGACUGCAACUGACGUUGAUGCUCGAAAGCGUGGGUAUCAAACAGGAUUAGAUACCCUAGUAGUC
rnacentral:rRNA from 1 species